AUUGAACGCUGGCGGCAUGCCUUACACAUGCAAGUCGAACGGCAGCAUGGAGAGCUUGCUCUCUGAUGGCGAGUGGCGAACGGGUGAGUAAAGCAUCGGAACGUACCGUGUAGUGGGGGAUAACGAAGCGAAAGUUCCGCUAAUACCGCAUACGCACUGAGGUGGAGAGCCGGGGCUCGUAAGACCUUGCGCUAUAGUAGCGGCCGAUGUCAGAUGAGAGAGUUGGUAGGGUAAAGGCCUACCAAGGCGACGAUCUGUUGCGGGUCUGAGAGGAUGAUCCGCCACACUGGACUGAGACACGGCCCAGACUCCUACGGGAGGCAGCAGUGGGGAAUUUUGGACAAUGGGGGCAACCCUGAUCCAGCCAUGCCGCGUGAGUGAAGAAGGCCUUCGGGUUGUAAAGCUCUUUCGGCCGGGAAGAAAUCGCACAGGCUAAUACCCUGUGUGGAUGACGGUACCGGCAUAAGAAGCACCGGCUAACUACGUGCCAGCCGCCGCCGUAA
rnacentral:rRNA from 1 species